AUGCUUUCAACAAGAAAUUUCAAUACACUGUUUUUAGUUUCAAAAGUAUCUCAUGUUUUAUUUAUACAAUCAGUAUUUAUGACAUUUUACUACAAGCAUUUGGGUCCAAUAUAUAUGUUGUGAGUAAUUUGGUUACUUGUUAUCCUGCUAGGUUUAUAGUGUUUACCUGCUAUCUCAGGUCACUUGUUAUCCAUAUACCUGUAUGUUUAUAUAGUGUUUACCUGCUAUCUCAGGUCACUUGUUAUCCAUAUACCUGUAGGUUUAUAUAGUGUUAGCCUGCUACCUCAGGUCACUUGUUAUCCAUAUACCUGUAGGUUUACAUAGUGUUUACCUGCUAUCUCAGGUCACUUGUUAUCCAUAUAAAUAACAAGUGUCAUCUAUUGUAACCAUCAAUAUAAUGAAUAACAGAAUUCAGUUACAGCAAUAUGGAGUUCAUCUCUCUCUCUUUCAAACACCUUCAAAAAAAGGAAAGUAAACAAUAUUAAACCUCUCUUAAAGUUCCGACUUUGUGAAGUUUUUAGUGGAUUUUCCAUAUGUUUAACAAGUGGUUCAAAAUAGGCCUAUCAAAUAAGGUUCUAACAUAGUUAUAGAAAAAAUGGAGAGAAUCCAACUCGUCAAUUCUAAAGAAAUUUAAACAUAUAUUUAAGAAAAGAGAUUCUAUUAUCAAGAUUUACAAUUUUGAACUAGGAUUGGUGGGGUGUGCCAGGCUAUUGCCAUAGUGCAACGCAAAAGCAACACUUGAGAGAUAAAUUUAAUAUCGUGUGGACCAUUGGCCCACAUAUCAGAUAUUAAACUGAUAAGAACAGAUACUACACUUGAUCUUAGCCAAAAGGCCGAGAAAGGUAUGAGUUGAAAACUAUGCUAGCUGUGUGUUUUAUAUCUGACAUCUACUAUGUUUCUUCCUUCACUAACCGAGGUGGGACUCUUAUACAACUCUUAUGCAGCAACUUGGACAUUUAUUUCCCUUUCCUUUCAUAACUAAAGACUUGCUAACACAUCUCAAUUACAUUAAUAACUCAUUCUCAUCACUUCCAUUUGCCUACCUGACAACAUCACAUGUAAUGCAUAUAUCGAUUGCAAUACAAUAUUUACCUCAUUCCUUAUUUUUGCUUCACAUUAAUUUUGCUUAAUUAUUAAAAAUUUCUUCAUAUACAAUACCUCCUCUCUCAUCCUGAAACAUAUUAGUUUGAUGCCAUAUUCAUUCUUGGGAGCAACUUGCUUACAUCUAUUUGUUCCAAUAUAAGCUCUAACAAUGCUCUUUUGUUCAUUGUUCCAUUCACUUAUAAAUAUCAGUUUCGAUAUUACUGAACUAUUUUUAAGCAUGAACGUUAACUAUUUUAAAAAUUGCCUUCAUUCUGUUUCAUAAGUUUUUCAAUAAAGAACUAUUGCUUCUCUAUUGUCCUCUUAAUCUGUUUUGCCUAGCAUUUCAUAAUAAUGAUAAUGGUGUUUUGCCACCAUUUCUUUAGCACAUUUUGGCAUUAAUUUUAUGAAGUGGGUAAAUAAAACAUAACACUUUCAGCCUCUGCUUAUGGAUCUGAAGACAGGAGGAGACAUGCUUGUUUAUAGAUGGAUUGGAUCUAAUUGCUCCUAAAUUAGCUGAGGGUGAACCCUCUCCUAUUGCAGGGCUAUAGAGUAAAAGGGUUUUCUAGGCCUUUGUUAGAUCUAAGCAAAUCAUUUGCUAAGGUGAUUGAAAGAGCCUUUGGACGACCUCUGCACCUCCUAUUGAUCCAUAUGCAAAUGAUAUUAACUUUUUGCUUGCAUCUUAUUUGAUUCUUUAUGUUGGUCUUACUGGAUAUCAUAGCUGUUGUGAUUUUAAGGUGCCCCUUAAUAUUAUGGUAAAAUACAAGCAAAUACAUACAGUUGUGUAAACUUCUAUAGUUUAUAUAUUACAACUGCAAUUGUGUGUUAUAAUGUUGCAUGUUAUGUAUCAGCUAGUUGUAGAAGAUUCUUGCUGGUUGUAGAAAAAGGACGUAGUACCCAUACAUAGGGGUCUUAUAUAAUAACUUCAAUGUACUUUUGUUUGUUGAAUAGAAUUGAAGUAUAUGGUUCUUAACUUAGAUACUAACUAGAUUGAGAGAUGGAUAAAGAGGUUACAAUUUCCUAAACGGAUAAAGAAAUUCUCCCUCAAAAUUUGACAUUAGAAUAGGAAGGGGCCGCGCGAACGCAGGCCCCCAAUGCAACAAAUUAUGAUGUAGGUUCCACCACUUGGGUAGACCUUAGGAUAGCACCCCUCCUAAGUGCAAUGGAGGCCACAAUCCUAGGCCAUGGUCCUUCAUGAUCAACCAUUGACCCCAUCCAGGUAAGUAAGUUACAAUGUACGUAUUCAUUUUGUUUUAUACUCUUGCUUCUCUCGAUACCUUUCACCUUCUUUUGAUGUGGGGCUCAACUGCUACUAGUAGUUGGCAAUGUAUUUCCCACCCUCUUAACUACCCUAUUCUAUACCACUGCAUUAUAAGAAAACUAUUUAGACUUAACUCCAACUUGUGCUGAAGUUGUUUUUUCGCUGCGUGUAGUCAAAUGGUGCACAUGAUUUCACAAAAUCAACUACACUAACAAAUUAGUUAAUAACUUUAUCAAAGAAAGUGAUUAAAUUUAAGGUGUGGUUUUAGUACUUGGACUGCAGAAAGUAUGAUUCAGCUUUACUUUCUACUUUUAAAUAAUUAACUUGUAUUACAUUCUAAGUAGUGCUAUAACAUUCUCUCUCCUUUAUAUCUCCAUUGGGAAACAGUUCAUUUUGACUUAAGACUGAGUAAUGUUAUCUGAACAUCACAAAUUCUCCAAGUUCCUGAACACAGUAUAUAAAAUACAUUCAAAACAAUAGUUGACGUGACUAAAAUUUAAAAAUAACACAAUCAUUUGUCUAUACGGUAAAUAUAGUUGGACGGAGCAAGCAGAAAGAUUCAAGACUAUUUUUGAAAAUAGUUACUUUAACCAAUGUCUUGCUUGUCCAAUAUCUUAUGCCAAGGUUAGGCACUGGUUGAACUUAAUUCUCAGUAACUAAAGAUGGGGGUGUUUGAUGUAGCAAUAAAGUAUUUUCAAUAAAGUAGAGAGAAUUGUGUAGCUCUAUAUGUUUGAGUUAAGAGUUGAAGGAGUUAUAAGAAAAAUUUGAUGAAUCAUUAAUCAAUGUCAUCAAAUCAUUUAUUGGAAUAUUUAAUAAGAAAUAACCCCUUUGCAUAGGCAUAAGGAAAUGGUUUAGCAGUAUGAUUCUCUCACAUUUAAUUUUCUAGUAGUGUUUCAUUAUUUACCAAUCGUCAGACGAAAUGAUAAUUUAUGAAUAUAUUGAUAGAAUGAUGGUGCCAAAAGGGUUGGUUAUUAAAAACUUGAAUUGGUUCACUUAGUUGUUUGUGGAUUUCAAUCUUUUGCCCAAAAUCAUAUUCUGGAGCCAAUUUUAUCCUAUAAAGUUUUUUUCCAAACUUGCAGACAUUGGGUUAAGUAUGGUCUGAUAGUUCACCAAUAAUUAAACUGUUAGUUCACUAAUUUCUUGCCCCUGCAUUCAGUAGAAGUAAACAAAACAUAUGCAUAAAAAUAGAUCAUCUGGUUAAAUGUCAUUAAAUUUGAACUAGGUUUGGUGGGGUGUGCCAGGCUAUUGCAAUAGUGCAACACAAAAGCGACACUUGAGAGACCCAAUAGCAAGCUAUUGUGGUGGACUCUCCCCCUCAAGAAAUAAAUUUAAUAUCGUGUGAACCAUUGGCCCACAUAUCAGAUAUUAAACUGAUAAGAACAGAUACUACACUUGAUCUUAGCCAAAAGGCCGAGAAAGGUAUGAGUUCUAAUACUUGAUAAAUGUGUGUUUUAUAUAUGACAUUUGUUAUGUUUCUUACUUCACUAUCCAAGGUGGGACUUUUAUGCAGUUUUGGAUUCAUUCGAACACAUUUUCCCUUCUUACUUUGAAGAUCUCCAAAUUACAUACUAACAUUGUUUCAAUAUCAAAGACUUACUGAAAGCUUAUAUAUGAAUCUUGUAAACAGUUUAGAUAAGAUAUCACAGUGACGCAAUUUAUCUUCAAACCAUCACUUGUUGAACUCCUGGAAUCAGAUUCAAAUAAAAUGCCCCCCAUUGGAUCUGGUUUACUUCCUGGUGACAACCAUCCCAAUUGGCUAACCUUCAAUAGCAGCUCUGCAGCUGUCUUCUGUAACUUUCGAAGUACCUCAAUUGGGAUGGGCGUAAUUUGAAGACAAAUCAUGUGCAUUGUCUAUUCUUCUUCCCCAUACAAUACAACAACAGAAGGUUUUAAUUUUUUAGUCGUUAAAUGCACAAAGAACACCAUUCAGGUCUACUAGAGAGAUUCAUUGUUUGCAUUUUUUGACGAGGUGGAGUAGCGGAGAGUGAUAUCAAAUAUAGAACCGGGAAACGAAAUUAAGGUGGUUGUUCUUACUUCUUACAAAUGAACUCACUGUGAAGAAGACAACAAUUUAUCUUGUAUAUGAUGAACCAAGUGAUGAAAAGGCGAAGCACUGCGAUGUGCCCGAUGAGAAUGGCGUUAUUUCUAGUGGUGAUGAAACUGUUUAGAUAUUUGGCAGGCUCUUCUCCGCUCUUCCUUCCCUUGCUCGGACUGUUCUGUUUUCACGGCCAUUCUGGUUCUGUUUGGCUGGUGGUAUCAUGGUUUGGUCAUCUCGGUGCCAGUCUGACAAACAAAAAUGAGGCAACCCUAUUCUAAAGGAACUAGGAUCCACAAGCUCUGAAGGAGUCAAUAAUCCAAAAUCUUUAGACGAAAAUCCUUUUUGAUUCAUGGACAAGAAAUGAAGAAACAUGGUCACAAGAGGCAACCGACAUUUCCCCGAAGGACGGUUUGAUUUCAAUCAACAUGGUUUGGUUCUAGUUAUAUCAAAUUCCUGAAGCCAUAGGAUGAUGAUUCCAAACAAGAGGAGAAAGCAGAAACUACCAAAGACAAGGACCAACAAGAGAGGAAAUAAAAGUUAAAAGGGUAUUAUGAACAAGUAUUAAAUACAGGUAUUUCGGUCCAUAUAAUCAGGAUCGGUGAAGGGAUUUCUAAAGGAUUUCGACAAAGCAAAGCUAAAAUCAUAAGAAUUUGUCUGGGCUUUUAAUAGACACAUCAUGUUAAUAUGAAAUAUAUAAUUUGAAG